rnacentral:lncRNA from 1 species
CGCCGUGCGCCCGCACUCCUCAGCCCUUGGGAGGUAGAUGGGACUGGGCGCCGUGGAGCAGGGGGCGGCGCUCGUCGGGGAGGCUCGGGUCGCACAGGAGCCCAUGGAGGUGGGGGGAGGCUCAGGCACGGCUGGGCUGCAGGUCCGGAGCCCUGCCCCGCGGGAAGGCAGCUAAGGACGGGCGAGAAAUUAAGCACAGCAGCUGCUGGCCCAGGUGCUAAGCCCCUCACUGCCUGGGGCUGGCGGGGCCGGCAGGCCGCUCCGAGUGCGGGCCCGCCGAGCCUACGCCCACCCGGAACUCGCGCUGGCCCGGAAGCACCGCGCGCAGCCCCGGUUCCGGCCCGCGCCUCUCCCUCCACACCUCCCCACAAGCUGAGGGAGCCGGCUGCGGCCUUCGCCAGCCCAGAAAGGGGCUCCUACAGUGCAGUGGCGGGCUGAAGGGCUGCUCAAGCGCCGCCAAAGUGGGAGCCCAGGCAGAGGAGGCGCCCAGAGCGAGCGAGGGCUGUGAGGACUGCCAGCACGCUGUCACCUCUCACUCAUAUAGAUUGCCAAUCUAUUUGUGAACCAGGUUUGCUGGAGUUUGGAUUUACUACUGAGUCAUAUUUGGAGCAUGCUGGAAUCUUACAACUGAGAUUACCGAGUCAGAAACUUGCAAACAUGAGUAACAUGGCCCUGCUCUGGAGACUACUGGGAACACAAACACAGCCAUUUAAGACAUCUACCUGCUUCUCCUUUGCCUUCCAUCAUGACUGAAAGUUGUCUGAGGUCUCCCAGCCACGUGUCCUGUACAGCCUGUGGAACUACUUUAAAGAAGAAUCAGAAAAUGGAGACUGGGAUUGGAAGCAGAGAUCCGAUGGCCAAAUUACAGUCUGCCACUGAAGCUAACACACCUAUGGAUAACCCAACCUGUAAACUCAAUGUGGAACACAGUUUGAGAAAAGAAGUGAGAAGAUUCAAUUUUGAAGUUGGAUCACUCUCCUACAGGCAAUGAAGACCACAUCACUGAUGGCUCUCCUGCAAUUCUAUUACCUGUUUGAAUGUGAAGAUGGGAUGAAGUAGCAAGAAGGACCUCACAAAAUACCUCCCCCACCACCCCAUCAUCUUGCACUUUCCAGUCUGCAGAACUGUGAGAAAGAAAUUUUUAAAAUUAUUAUUAUACUUUAAGUUAUAGGGUACAUGUGCACAAUGUGCAGGUUUGUUACAUAGGUGUACAUGUGCCAUGUUGGUUUGCUGCGUCCAUCAACUCGUCAUUUACAUUAGGUAUUUCUCCUAAUGCUAUCCCUCCCCCAGUCCCCCAGCCCCUGAUAUGCCCCAGUGUGUGAUGUUCCCCUCCCUGUGUCCAUGUGUUCUCAUUCAACUCCCACCUAUGAGUGAGAACACACGGUGUUUGGUUUUCUGCCCUUGUGACAUUUUGCAGAGGAUGAUGGUUUCCAGCUUCAUCCAUGUCCCUGCAUAGGACAUGAACUCCUUUUUUAUGGCUGCAUAUAUUCCACGGUGUAUAUGUGCCACAUUUUCUUAAUCCAGUCUAUCAUUGAUGGACAUUUGGGUUGGUUCCAAGUCUUUGCUAUUGUGAAUAAUGCCACAAUAAACAUAUAUG